GACGAACGCUGGCGGCGUGCUUAACACAUGCAAGUUGUACGACGGUCUUUGGAUGUAGCAAUACUGAAGGAGAUACGGAGUAGCGGACGGGUGAGUACAACAUGAGAAGCUAUCCUCUAAAGGGGGACAACGUUUGGAAACGAACGCUAAUACCCCAUAAGCCUGAGGGUUAAAGCAGAGAUGCGAUAGAGGGGGCGCUCGUGCCCUAUCAGCUAGUUGGUGAGGUAACGGCUCACCAAGGCUCUGACGGGUAGCCGGCCUGAGAGGGCGACCGGCCACACUGGAACUGAGAUACGGUCCAGACUCCUACGGGAGGCAGCAGUGGGGAAUAUUGGGCAAUGGGAGAAAUCCUGACCCAGCAACGCCGCGUGAACGAAGAAGGCCCUUGGGUCGUAAAGUUCUUUUGUGCGGGAAGAAAAAGAUGACGGUACCGCACGAAUAAGCCCCGGCUAACUACGUGCCAGCAGCCGCGGUAAUACGUAGGGGGCGAGCGUUGUCCGGAAUUACUGGGCGUAAAGGGCACGCAGGCUGUGCCACAAGUCGGCUGUUAAAAAAUGCGGCUUAACCGUGUUUCGCAGUCGAAACUGUGGUACUGGAGUACCGGAGAGGCAAGUGGAAUUCCCAGGGNAGCAAACGGGAUUAGAUACCCCGGUAGUCCUGGCGGUAAACGAUGAAUGCUGGGUGUGCGAGUAGAGAUACUGGCGUGCCGUAGUUAACGCGAUAAGCAUUCCGCCUGGGGAGUACGGUCGCAAGAUUGAAACUCAAAGGAAUUGACGGGGGCCCGCACAAGCGGUGGAGCACGUGGUUUAAUUCGAUGCAAACCGAAGAACCUUACCUGGGUUUGACAUGUAUGUGGUAGAAGGCGGAAACGUCGACGACCCAGCUUUCGGGUUGGGAGCAUACACAGGUGCUGCAUGGCUGUCGUCAGCUCGUGUCGUGAGAUGUUGGGUUAAGUCCCGCAACGAGCGCAACCCCUGCAUUUAGUUGCCAUCAGGUGAAGCUGGGCACUCUAGAUGGACUGCCAUCGACAAGGUGGAGGAAGGUGGGGAUGACGUCAAGUCAUCAUGGCCCUUAUGUCCAGGGCGACACACGUGCUACAAUGGGCGGUACAAAGGGAAGCGAGUUCGUGAGGAUAAGCGGAUCCCGUAAAGCCGUUCUCAGUUCGGAUUGAAGUCUGCAAUUCGACUUCAUGAAGCUGGAAUCGCUAGUAAUCGCAGAUCAGCCAAGCUGCGGUGAAUACGUUCCCGGGCCUUGUACACACCGCCCGUCACACCACCCGAGCUGGGUGUACCCGAAGCCGGUGGCCUAACCCGUAAGGGAAGGAGCCGUCGAAGGUGUGUCUGGUGAGGGGGGUG
rnacentral:rRNA from 1 species